UUUUAUGAAACUAUAUGUAUAUGUAUCUUAAUUUAGGCAUUUCUAAGGAAAACAGAAUGGGAACAAAUAUUCGAUUUCUUAUUGUAGUAUGCAUCAUCAUAUGUUUUGCCUCAAUUUCAGAUGCUGCCACAGGGAUUGCCACCUUCUACAAACCUCCUUAUGUUCGAUGCCACGGAAACAUCAAUCUUUCGGAAGACGCUUUUUUUAUGAUUGCUGAUCUCAAUGCUGGAAAAAUUAUGGUUAACUAUACAGAGUACAUAUAGUAAGGUCUUAGCAGAUUAUCGCCUACCUUUACCACAGUAGCAAGGUUUUGAGGCAGAUGGGUAGGUGGUCGGAAUGCUUAGGCUUUUAGGGGUCAUCAUAUCAUCCACUAUGUUACUUUUAUUGCAUUUAUAUUCUGUCAAACUAUGUUAAAGCAAGUGCAUCAGGCACAGACAAAAAAAAAAAUUGGAUCACUUAACUUAUUCAGUUGUGUUAUUAUGUUAUUAAGAACUUAUACUUCUGCAAAAAUAUUAUUUUUAGUGGUUUACAA